GAUUGCCUAAAAUCACCCUGAGGCAGACUUUUUCCCUAAAUCCUAAGUAAGGGCUGGGAUUAUUGCUCAGUGGCAGAGCGUUUGCUUGGCAUGUGCAAGGCCCUGGGCUUAAUACCCAGCAAAGGAAACAAUUCCUGGCCCAGUUCUUAGACUAGCCCCCAGUUCUUUGACUCUCAUAUUUCUGUUUUCUCCAGGGAUUCGGAUUGUGAAACUCCUGUCCCUGUGAUGAUUUUUGACCCUUGCUUUCCAGUCUGCCUGGAAAUUACUCCCUGUUAAUUUGCACCUUGACCAUGACCUAUGCUACCUUCUCCCAGACCCUGCUUUGUUCCAUCUGCUGGAUUUCCAUUGUCAGGGUCCUGCCCAGGACUAACCUCUGCUCAUGAACAUCUUCUGGAAUGACUGUCUUGGCACUGACCCACUCACCAUACUGACUAUGGUGAGGCGAGGCACCAUGUUGGAGAGCUCCCUUGGGAAAGAGCUGGAGGCUGAAUGAUCUACAUGGAAUGGCCAGACUCAGGAGGUCAUACCUGGCACCAAAAGAAUAAGUUAAUAAGUAAAAAUCUUAGAUAAAAUAAAGAAAGAGCAGGAAGAAAAAUCUGUCUCAUUCUACAAUCCACCAAUUUUUCCUGAGAUUAUUUGUCAGCUCUAAGGUCACUGACAGGCAGUACAUGGACUGAGUCAUUGGUACCUGCUUCACAGAUGUGGUGGGCAAAGAUAUCCUGUGAAUGUGGGAGUUAAUCAUAGUGCUUCCGUUGCUCCCUUUGGCAAUUCUGAGGAGCUACGAGGAUCCUGAUUUGUUCGCUGCAGUUUUAAAUGACAGUGUGUGGGAAACAAAUCAAGGAGUUCUGAGUCUGGUGGAGCUGCAGCUAGGGGCCUGUUCGUACAACCUCCAUGUCCUCAUCUGUAAAGUGAAGGACAAGAAGCAUCUGCAGUCCAAGGCCCCUUCUGGACUCCUGGUUUGAGAGCAGGUGGUGUCUGUGAGCCUAGACCAUGGAACUGGUGUUUAGUGGUGAAGCCGAUAAUUCUCCCACUUGCUUAAAAGAUUGAGCCGAGACAAGAGAUUUUUACCUGACUGUGUCUUCUGCCAGAAGCCAGAGAAAUGCACAAUCUUGGAACGCUGAGACGUGGAUACCGCAUGUCUAAUGGAUGGAAUCUUUUUUUGUCUGGGGUAGAAAUAUACAACUAUUGACUGUGUUACGCAUAUGGAGUAAAACUGAUUGCAGGUGGUAAGUUUGUGUGUACUUUAAGAAAAACAUUGAUUACUUAUACAUAUCCUGGUAAAUGUAACUCAGUUCAAAUCCAAUAUAAAAAUGCUUUCAAAAGGGAACAGUAAAAUUUUAACUGGAUCCCUUCAAUGUAUGAAGGGAUCCCAGCAAUACCCAUGGUAUGAAUUUAAUGCUCUUUUUCAAAACUCUAAGCUCUGUGAUUCUGCAUAGACCAAAUUAAGAGAAGGUUAAAUUCGAUAUGCAUGAGUGGUGUUAGUCCUUGUUAGGAGUGAAUCAUUUUUGGCCUUAAGACACAACAUUUCAUGUUCAAUUCAUGUCUCAGAAAAGAAGCCGUAAUUCUAACUACUGGAAAUGAAAUAAUGAGCAUAGUUGUACUGCGAUUACAGGUGUAUCUCACAGAUAAAGAACGAUUAACAUGAAUAGCUCACAUUCCCCCCAUCUCGUGGAUGGAUAUGAGCAAGGUAGCCAUAGUCGGCUGACCCUGUGCCAUUGAUGGUGUGAGGUCAGCUGGAAAAGAAGCCCAGACCUGCAUUCUCGAGACCUCAUCACGAGCCCUCUUGGCAUAAUCAGCAUAGCACAGUGUUUUAGGUCAGAGGCACCCACCCAGGCUCUGCCCGAUCGCUGCUGUACAAUUUUAAUGAGUUACUCUAUCUCUCAAAAUCUUCUCUUCUGAGUAGCUGAUUAAAAUAGUCUUUCUGUGAGGACUGCAUUGCGAUAUGUCUGGCACACAGUGAGUGCUUGAGAAACAUUUGCUAUUAUUAUUAUUAUUAUUAUUAAUUUUAUUUACUUAUCUUGAAGCCAAAUGAACAGAUAUUUGAGAACUUUAGGAAAAAGUCAGUGUAGGAAUUCAAAGUUUCACCAGUAAUGGAAUUAUUUUUCUUCCUCAAACUGAGGCUUUUCAAAACACCAGUGAUAAGAUAGGUAAUCUCUAAAGGCUUGAAGAUUUCAGCUUUUAUUUUUGACACAUCUUGGUCCUUUUUUUUUUUUCUGAGUUUUAAAAAAUACAUAUGACCAUCAGGGAAUAGGAAAGAGGAUUAGUCUUCCUAAAAAUAAUAUGGGCUUUAUAGGUCCAUUUUGUUUGACAAUUAUUUUCUAAGGCAACUGGCCUUUCCAAAAUAAAUUUACAAACUGUAUCCUUAUAAAAAAUUAGAACUUGGCAAGCCAAAAGAAUUUGGGCCAUAUCAGCUCUGUCAUUCUACAUUUUAAAAUAUUUAGCCCUACUUCAAGAUAAGUAGGAACAAUUGAACUUAAACAACCAAGAAAAAUAAACAUACAACAUCUUGAAAAUGUACAAAUAACUAGAUGGUUUUUAAAAAUGUUAUCAGAAAUGUCUUUAUUACUAAUAAGCUCUAAGUUAGACUAUGGCCAUAGAUUAUAUUUAUUUGUAAUGUUAUGGCCACACUGCCAAGGGACUGUCCACUGUGAGGACAGAUGAAACUCAGCAUUCACAGCCACUUGGAGCCGUGGCUGGAGGAACCCCAGCUGGCUGAUGUCAAAACCCUGGCAAGUCUUUGGCAUGGGGGUGGAGAGCAUGUGCUUUGGUACAAUCAGAAUGGCUCAGGGUAUGAUUUGAAGGUAUGAUUUGAAGCUAAGAUUUGAACAAUCUUAAAGGACGAUUGGAUAGUGUAUCAAACCGAGUUCUCCAGAGGAAUAAAACCAAUAGAAUGUAUAUAAUAACCACGGGGUGUGUGUGUUAUUACAUCGUUUUACAUAAAAAAGGCUGAGUAGUCUCGCUGUCUGCAAGCUGAAUGGCUGAGGGAACUUGUAGGUGUCCAGUAGAAGAAGCUAGGAGCCUCUGAUCAAGGACCAAUGAUGCAGCCCCAGUAUCGAAGCUUAAGGCCUGGGAGUGUCCUGGACAGUCACUGGUGCAAGUCUGCAUCAAAGGCUGAAGACUGGAGCCUGAUUGCCACAAAAAACUCGGCGGGCCAAAAAGAGCUGAGCAUGUGCCUGAGAGGGCGUUUCCCUUCUUCUGAGUUCUGUUCCAUCCCGGCCCCCAGCCUAUGGGUGCCUCACACAUUCAGAACUAUCUUCUCUCAAUUUGCUGACAUGCGUGCCGGUCACCUCUGGAAACACCUUCACAGGCAUACCUAGAGUGCGCUUCAUCGAUUUUCUGGUUGUGUCUCAAUCUAGUCAAGUUGAUAACAAGAUGAACCAUCACAGAUGGGCUUGUUGACUCUUCCAGGUACAACGGUUUCUUCCUUUCUGCCUCUCCACCUUCCCCUGGCACCAGUUUCCUAUGCUUGGAGAUACGAAUAAUGGGAGCCCAGUGAUCAUGAGAAAAUUCUACUGGGUUGAUGAACAACAACAGUGAAGGGCAGGAACAGUACAAAACCAGUACUGGGAGGACAACUGAGACCCAUAAUUACUCAGUGAGUUGACCUUGCCCUCCUCAGGACACCUGAUGUGCUGCUGAGCGAUAAAAUAUAUGGCUCUGGUAUCAGAUGCAAAUUCACAUCUCCCCACACUGGUAGGUUUCCUGUGAUCCUCAGGCCACGCACUCAUUGACACCCAUCUUUUUCAUUUGCAAUAUAAGUAUAUAAAAAUUAGAUUUUUGUGGGAUGAAAUGAUAGAGCUAUAACUAUUACUAUUAAUUUUUAGUCUGCAGUGUGUCAAGAACAUUAUCCUGACAUGAGUUCUCUUUAUGUACUAAUAUCUAUUUUAUUUUUUUAAAAAAUCUAUUUUAUUUCUAGUUUUCCAGUGAUCUCUGAUAAAAUCACAGGUACCACAGACCUGUGAUGCUCUAUUAAAAUCUAAACAUUUUUUUCUGAGUCAGAAAUAUUUUAAAAAAUCUCAGGAACUUCCCAUACAAGAGUUUAAUUAGGUAAACACAUCAAAGAAUAGCUUAGAUUAUUUUGUUUAUAGUCUCAAGAGAAAGUUCUAAAGGACAUACUCCUUUUAACUUUAAUACACUUUUCCAGGAUCCAUUGUUUUAUUUUGAUUUAUUCCUUAUAAGUACAUUUAAAUGACUGCUAUGAAAUGACAUUUAGGAUACAAAUAUUUUUAAUCUUAAUUUUUAAUAAUUUCUUGUCUUAAAACUCAUAAUAUUUUGAGUUCUAAUAAUAAAACUGGAAUUUUGAUUUUUACAAGUAAUAUCUCAACCAAGAAUCAUCAUAUACAAACCAAAAAAUUUUCAAGACAGUCUGGAUUGUAUUCAAAGUAACAAACAUUAUUCAAAAGUACAAAUUUCAUUCAUAUUUAUUGCAACUCUAUUCAUAACAGCUAAGAAAGGGAAGCAACUUGAGCAUCUAUCAACUGAUGAGUGAACAAGGAAAAUGGGUUAUGUAUACAUAAUGGAAUACUAUUCAUCCAUAAAGAAGGUUGAAAUCCUGUCAUUUGCAAUAUAACAUGAAUGGAAUUGUUGAUCUUUAUAUUAAGUGAAAUCAAUCAGGCACAAAAAAGACAAACAGCACAUGAUCUUGCUCAUAUGCAAAAUCUAAAUAUGUUGAUCUCAUAAAAGUUGUGAGUACAGAAUGAUACAUGUCGAAGAGAAUAGAGAGAGCACAAGGACAGGGAGAGGCUGGCCAAUGGGGAUGAAGUUGCAGUUAGACAGGAGUAAGAUAUUCUGGUGAGCUCCUGUAUGGCAGGGUAACUAGAUAACAAUAAAGUAGUGUAGAUUUUAAAAAGCUAGAAGAGAGGAUAUUGAAUAUCUGUUCCAUAAAAAUGAUAAAUGUUUGUGGAAAUGGACAUACUAACUCUGAUUUGAAUAUUAUACAAUGUAUGAAUGUAUCAAAACUUUACAUGGCUCCUCUUGAUGUGUAUAGUUUUGUAUUUCUAUCAUCAAUUAAAAAUAAAUUUCAAAAAUCCUCAAAAAUAAAUAAAUGACUCACUUGCUUGGCUGUGUUGACUUCUAUUUUCCAUAGUGACUAGAAAAAUCCAAAAGAACUGACUGAAUGUGUCAGAUAUCAUACAGACAGAAUUAGUCAAGAGAAAGUUGACUUCCUUAGAUAUACAUCUUCUCUUAUAUAGAGUCAGACCUAUCCAAAGUAAGAAGAGUGAGAUAAUACUUUAUUGUCUUUUUGUUCUUUUUAGCAUUUAAGGUAGUAGUAGUAGUUGCUGAUAUUUUCAUCGACAAAUAUAAAAUUUUUUUAGUAACUGUUUUUUUUGUCCUUGAGGCUGAACGUAUAACAGAGCCAAUCACGUUACUUCAUUCUGCAAGUGAGGGUAGUUGAUUGACAGAUGCCAUGUGGCCCAAGCUGAACUAAUCUGAAUUCUUCACUUGGCUUUGUUUUGCUGCAGCUAUCAGGGAAUACUUUCUUUCUUCCUAGGUUGAUAAGGAUGGGACUCCCAUACUUCAGGUAUUCAGUAAAUGCUUAACUUUGCCCACUGAAAGUUCAGCUCUUUGUUCACAGCUCCAAGGGUGGUGAACUCAAAACCCACAAGAUACUAUCCUUGAUAAGGAUGGCUGUAUGUAUCUGGGGUUUGAGACAGCCAGACUGUCUAUGCUAACAAUGCAAUUUUUGGUGAGGGCUUGGGCUAUGUGAUACCCCUCAAGCUAUAGAGGAGCUGGAGACAAAAGAUAGGCUCAUAAGUGAUCAAUGUGUCUACAUGGCAGACUCCUAACAAAAAAUCUGGACAACAAAACUUGGAUGAGCUUUCAUGGUUGGGAAUAUUCUGUGUGUGUUAUUACACAUCCUUGCUGAAAGAACAGUGUGCAUCCACCUAAUUUCACUAGGAAUGGGCAACUG
rnacentral:lncRNA from 1 species